GUGCUCUCUUUGGCAGCAUGUAUAUUAACAAUUGGAAUGACACAGAGAUUACCAUGGCCUUUGCCCAAGAAGGGCACACAAAUUCAAGAAACAAUUCACAUUUAA